AAUGAACGCUGGCGGCAGGCCUAACACAUGCAAGUCGAACGGAUCCUUCGGGAUUAGUGGCGGACGGGUGAGUAACGCGUGGGAACAUACCCUUUGGUACGGAAUAGCCUCGGGAAACUGGGAGUAAUACCGUAUGUGGUCGAGAGACGAAAGAUUUAUCGCCAAAGGAUUGGCCCGCGUUGGAUUAGGUAGUUGGUGGGGUAAUGGCCUACCAAGCCGACGAUCCAAAGCUGGUUUGAGAGGAUGAUCAGCCACACUGGGACUGAGACACGGCCCAGACUCCUACGGGAGGCAGCAGUGGGGAAUCUUAGACAAUGGGGGAAACCCUGAUCUAGCCCUGCCGCGUGAUCGAUGAAGGCCUUAGGGUUGUAAAGAUCUUUCAGGUGGGAAGAUAAUGACUGUACCACCAGAAGAAGCCCCGGCUAACCCCGUGCCAGCCGCCGCCGUAA
rnacentral:rRNA from 1 species